UCGAGGCAGAAGUAGACACACUUGUCCUGGGGAGUCCAUGCAUCAUGCUGCUCUCCAGCCUGCUCUGGGUGUUCCUGGCCUUCACCUUCUCUGGAUAUGGUGUGGCUCAGAGUGUUACUCAAGACCAACCACACAUAGUCAGUGAAGUGGGGAAGACAGUCACCCUGAACUGUCGGUAUGAAACAAGUUGGGACAUGUACAAGUACUCCAUUUUUUGGUACAAGCAGCUUCCCAGUGGACAGAUGACUUACCUUAUUCGUCAGCAUUCAGAUGAUGGGAAUGCAAGGGACGGCCGCUAUUCCGUAAAUUUCCAGAAAGCUCAUAAAUCCAUCAGCCUCACCAUUCCAGCCUUAGAGCUGGAAGAUUCUGCAAAGUACUUCUGUGCUCUCCAGGACUCACAGUGCUUGAAGUAA